rnacentral:sRNA from 1 species
ACUGCACCCCGACCUGAGUGGAGCUCUUUUUUUUGGCCGCUCGACGGUUUGAUAGGUUUGCGGCCAAAAAAAAAGCGGGAACGGAGGGCGGAAUAGGUG